AGCAUUUCUAGCUAGCUAAAACCAAAAUUACAAGCAUGCAAGGAGAGAUUCCAAUAAGUAGCUAGUGCCUAAUCCCAAACAUGUAACAAAAGAGCAGGAGAUACCAACUAGAUAUUCAUUAAAAUCUCAAAACCCUAGCUUCAAUUCCAAGUCUAAAUACUCUUUGCUCUUCAAACUAAGCUCAAUAUCAACACUAGGAUCACAUAUGCUUGUUUCAGAGGACUUCCCUGUGCCCUCUCCUUCCUUCACUUGGUGCCUU
rnacentral:misc_RNA from 1 species